UUUUUUUUGUCCAGUUUGUUCCAUAUUAGGAGUCUAAUUUCAUGGAUUGAACAGCAAAACCCUCGUGAUUCUAUUGCUCAUAUAAUUCUUUACUAGUUAAUGCUUACUUUGCUAAUGACUUUUGCCUAUCCCCUCUGGCCGUCUUCAAAGUGAAACAUUCCUUUGCUUCUUCAUUUUCCAGCACAAAGUUUACAAUAAUUUAUAAUAUAAUUUUUCUACGGAACUGUUUUCAUCUUUUUUAAGAUCAAACAAAUUAAUCUCAUCUCUUUUUUUUAUGUUCAACAAAUUAAUUCUUCUGCUUAAAUUCGUUGUUACUUCUAAUGAAAAAUAAUCAAAAUGCCCUUCUAAAGAACUUGAGAAAAUAAAUUUUGUUUCUAUUUGCUUAUUUUGCAAGUUAUUCCACAUUGAAAAUGGAUUUAAGAGUAUUUCAAUAAUUUUUUGUUAUAAUUAACAAUAAAUAAGACAUAAAUUGGACAAAUUACCAUAUAUUAUAGCGGAAUUUGUCAUCCCACCUAAUUUCUAGUACCCCAACAACAGAAUAAUAUUAAAAAAAAAAAAAAAAAUACCAGAAUGCAAGCAUGCAUGAAUACAUGUCACCACCCGGACAAACAGACAGAGCCAUCUCAGCUUUGCCGAUUUCGUUUGAUUUCAUCAUCCCAUUGGNNN
rnacentral:lncRNA from 1 species